UUUAGUCAACAUUUCAUGCUUCCGGUUUUUCACGAUGUCGACUGCCAGAAAAGUCCUUGGCAAAGUUUCUGCUAUUGGCAGAGUAGGAAUCAGACACUGUUACACAAACUCACGACCUAACCUGCUGGUCAACAAACAUACAAAGGUCAUAUGCCAAGGAUUUACAGGCAAACAGGGAACAUUUCACAGUCAGCAAGCUCUUGAAUAUGGCACUAAAAUGGUUGGAGGUGUGUCUCCAGGAAAAGGAGGACAAAAACAUCUUGGACUUCCUGUGUUCAACUCUGUUCAAGAGGCAAGAGAUCAGACCAAUGCAGAUGCCUCUGCCAUCUACGUCCCUCCACCAUUUGCUGCUGCAGCAAUCAUUGAAGCAAUAGAAGCAGAAGUACCAUUAAUUGUUUGUAUAACUGAGGGUAUCCCACAGCAGGACAUGGUUAAAGUCAAACAUAAACUCAUCCGUCAGUCUAAAUCCAGAUUAGUAGGUCCCAACUGUCCUGGAAUUAUAAAGCCUGGUGAAUGUAAGAUUGGUAUCAUGCCAGGACAUAUACAUAAAAGAGGGAAAAUAGGCAUUGUUUCAAGGUCUGGUACCUUAACAUAUGAAGCAGUACACCAGACAACAAUGGCUGGACUAGGACAAUCACUGUGUGUUGGUAUUGGUGGAGAUCCUUUUAAUGGAACUAAUUUUAUUGAUUGUUUAGAAGUUUUCCUAUCAGAUCCACAAACAGAAGGAAUAGUAUUGAUUGGAGAGAUUGGUGGUGGAGCAGAAGAAAAAGCAUCUGAAUAUCUUAGGAAUAAUAACUCUGGACCAAAUGCCAAACCAGUUAUAUCCUUCAUUGCUGGAGUAACAGCACCCCCAGGACGUAGGAUGGGACAUGCAGGAGCUAUCAUUGCUGGUGGUAAAGGUGGAGCGGAGGAGAAGAUCGAGUCAUUGAGAGAAGCUGGUGUAGAUGUAACCAUGUCUCCAGCUCAACUAGGAACUACUAUGGCUAAGGUAAUAAUUGUACUAGGGGGGAUUACAUGGUGUAGAUGUAACCAUGUCUCCAGCUCAACUAGGAACUACUAUGGCUAAGGUAAUAAUUGUACUAGGGGGGAUUACAUGGUGUAGAUGUAACCAUGUCUCCAGCUCAACUAGGAACUACUAUGGCUAAGGCUAUGAAGGCAGCAGGGAAGUGACAAGUCAGACCCCUAAAGACAUUUAUAGACAUUCAUUAAUAAUUUAGACAAAGAUUUUCUUGAUUGUUAUAUUUAUGAAUUAUGUGAUAAAUAAACUUAAUAUUUAGAUGA